CCUACGGGAGGCAGCAGUGGGGAAUAUUGGACAAUGGGCGAAAGCCUGAUCCAGCAAUGCCGCGUGUGUGAAGAAGGCCUUAGGGUUGUAAAGCACUUUCAGCAAUGAAGAAGUUUUACUAGUUAAUACCUAGUAAUAUUGACGUUAGUUGCAGAAGAAGUACUGGCUAACUCUGUGCCAGCAGCCGCGGUAAUACAGAGAGUGCAAGCGUUAAUCGGAAUUAUUGGGCGUAAAGGGUGUGUAGGUUGUUAAAAAAGUUAGAUGUGAAAUCCCUGGGCUUAACCUAGGAAUUGCAUUUAAUACUUUUUAUCUAGAGUAUUGUAGGGGGAAGUGGAAUUUCCGGUGUAGCGGUGAAAUGCGUAGAUAUCGGAAGGAACACCAGUGGCGAAGGCGACUUCCUGGACAAAUACUGACACUGAGACACGAAAGCGUGGGGAGCAAACAGGAUUAGAUACCCGUGUAGUC
rnacentral:rRNA from 1 species